GAUGAACGCUGGCGGAGUGCCUAACACAUGCAAGUCGAGCGGCAGCGCGAGUAGUUUACUACUUGGCGGCGAGCGGCGGACGGCUGAGUAACGCGUGGGAACAUGCCCCAAAGUGAGGAAUAACUGCCCGAAAGGGUAGCUAAUGCCGCAUACGAUCUUCGGAUUAAAGGAUUAUCCGCUUUGGGAGUGGCCUGCGUACGAUUAGAUAGUUGGUGAGGUAAUGGCUCACCAAGUCUACGAUCGUUAACUGGUUUGAGAGGAUGAUCAGUCAGACUGGAACUGAGACACGGUCCAGACUCCUACGGGAGGCAGCAGUGAGGAAUCUUCCACAAUGGCGAAAGUCUGAUGGAGCAAUCCGCGUGCAGGAUGAAGGCCUGG
rnacentral:rRNA from 1 species